rnacentral:rRNA from 1 species
GAUGAACGCUAGCUACAGGCUUAACACAUGCAAGUCGAGGGGCAGCAUGGGGCGAGCAAUGUCCCGAUGGCGACCGGCGCACGGGUGAGUAACACGUAUCCAACCUGCCCAUGACCAGGGAAUAACCCGCGGAAACGCGGCCUAAUGCCCUAUGUGCUCCGAAGAGGACAUCUGAUUUGGAGUAAAGAUUCAUCGGUCAUGGAUGGGGAUGCGUCCGAUUAGGUAGUAGGCGGGGCAACGGCCCACCUAGCCUGCGAUCGGUAGGGGUUCUGAGAGGAAGGUCCCCCACAUUGGAACUGAGACACGGUCCAAACUCCUACGGGAGGCAGCAGUGAGGAAUAUUGGUCAAUGGGCGAGAGCCUGAACCAGCCAAGUAGCGUGCAGGAUGACGGCCCUAUGGGUUGUAAACUGCUUUUAUGCGGGGAUAAAGUGCUCCACGUGUGGGGCAUUGCAGGUACCGCACGAAUAAGGACCGGCUAAUUCCGUGCC